CCUACGGGCGGCUGCAGUGGGGAAUAUUGCACAAUGGGCGCAAGCCUGAUGCAGCCAUGCCGCGUGUGUGAAGAAGGCCUUCGGGUUGUAAAGCACUUUCAGCGGGGAGGAAGGCGUUAAGGUUAAUAACCUUGUCGAUUGACGUUACCCGCAGAAGAAGCACCGGCUAACUCCGUGCCGGCAGCCGCGGUAAUACGGAGGGUGCAAGCGUUAAUUGGAAUUACUGGGCGUAAAGCGCACGCAGGCGGUCUGUCAAGUCGGAUGUGAAAUCCCCGGGCUCAACCUGGGAACUGCAUUCGAAACUGGCAGGCUAGAGUCUUGUAGAGGGGGGUAGAAUUCCAGGUGUAGCGGUGAAAUGCGUAGAGAUCUGGAGGAAUACCGGUGGCGAAGGCGGCCCCCUGGACAAAGACUGACGCUCAGGUGCGAAAGCGUGGGGAGCAAACAGGAUUAGAUACCCCAGUAGUC
rnacentral:rRNA from 1 species